AUGCAGGAUUUAGUUGCGAUUAUCUAUAACCUCUUGCUGAGGUGCGUUAGAGGAGAGGAUGAGAGCAUUGUUAAGACCAUUGGGGAAAACGACGCAUAGAGUUGAUCCACACUUACGUUGGUGUCGACAUACCUUGAGUCCAUAAGGAUUGAAAGUAAGUUGAUAAUGACCGAGUCAAGGUCCAGGCUGGCAACAGAGCAGACAGAGCGAGGCACAUCGAUGGGAAGCGAGGAAAGUCGACUUAAAGUUGUCCAAAGGAAAUAACAAUGUAAACUCAGACAAA
rfam:Dictyostelium discoideum AX4 chromosome 1, whole genome shotgun sequence.